rnacentral:rRNA from 1 species
GACGGGGGAUGCAAGCGUUAUCCGGAAUCACUGGGCGUAAAGCGUCUGUAGGUGGUGAUGCAAGUCACUGGUGCAAAACUCUGGCUCAACCGGAGGAAAGCCAGUGAAACUGCAUGACUAGAGUGUGGGAGAGGUAGAAGGAAUUCCCUGAGUAGCGGUGAAAGGCGUAGAUACAGGGAAGAACACCGGAGGCGAAAGCGUUCUGCUGGAACACAACUGACACUGAGAGACGAAAGCUAGGGGCGCGAAUGGG